GCCAGGCAUGGUGAUGCAUGCCUGUAGUUCCAGCUGCUCGGGAGGCUGAGACAGGAGAAUUGCUUGAACUCGGGAUGUUGAGGUUGCAGUGAGCCGAGAUUGUGCCACUGCACUCCAGCCUGGGUGACAGAGUGAGACUCUGUCUCAA
ensembl:misc_RNA Metazoa_SRP Metazoan signal recognition particle RNA